CUUACAUUAGAGUGAAUAAAUGAAGACUCAGCACACCACUUCUGAAAAGUUGCCGACCCCUGGUGUAGAAUGACUGGUAUAAUUUUAUUCCUAUUUGAUCACUGCUCUGAUUAACAGCGCUCACUGCUGUACACUGUUAAAGUUCAAAUUGUAAGCCUAUCUAAUCUUGUAUAAGAUAGAAAUUCUAAAUUGCAGCACAAAAAUAUUUACCUUUUCUCUGAUGUAUUAAACUUGUGUGUGUAAUUACAUUGUAAAUCCUUUAGCGAAUAAAUGGUCCUUUUAUCUUAUACCCUGCUUACCAGAUAAUAAAUACAAGAUUUGACUUUUUACAAAACUGUUUACAUUAGCAAUAGCUGAUCCUUAUUUCCGCUUUUCAGGAGGACUUGAAUAGUGAUACAGCAUGAUAUGCAUUUGUACUUUAGGAAAAUAACUAAAAAGGUUGAUUUCCCCCCCACCCCCUCCUUUGGUAACCAUUUGUAACUAAAUAUAGCCUUUACACUAAAUUUGAUGCUGCUUUUCAUGAACCAGUAGGGUACACUAUAUCUAUAAAAAUGUAUUUAAGCAAAGAUAUAACUUACAUACAUGGUGAUGGUGCUGCCCACCUAAUAACUUUUAGACCAGAGUACUAGCCUGGGAUGAGGGAAACCCAGGCAAGCUCUAACUACUUAGCUAAAACCUACAAGGUAGGUGCCACCUCUGUUGGCUGGAUUUUCUCCUCCAUCUGGAUUUUGAACAAGUCCCAAUCCUGUAAAUAGCCUCUGAUCAUGCAUACCAGAUUGGGCCUAUACACGACUUAGGUGGCCAAAUACCUGUCUUUAUCUGGUUCAGGAAUCGCUCUGGGAAUUUGGCAGGCAAUAGGACUCCAGACGCCUAGAAUGAGGCAGUAGUGUGCAUUCCAGAGACAGAAACAGUAAGCUCCUAGGGAACUCUUACAGCAAAAACAUAGGAGUCAAAUGAAUGUAGGCACCUACAGGGUUCAGCAGGAGUUUUGUGGAUUGUAGUGGAGCUAAAACAUACUGGGUCCAAUCCUAUCCUAUGUUUUUCGAGAUUCAACCUAGUAGAUCUCAUCCUCACACCUAUUUUUUUUCAUAGAUUGGAAGACAAAAACAAGCUUCCUUGCUUUUUUCAACUUCCAGUUGGUUUCUCAACUUCAAAUGAACUAGUCAUAAAACUCAAUUAGCAGAAUAAACUGAAAUAAGGGAAAAAUCUUUCUGCACCUGUAGAAGUGACUACUGCUUUUCAAAAGCUGGUUUAGCACUUCAACUAUAUCUGGUUCCAGUUGCUUAGUCAGUGACUUCCACCACUUUAGUGGUUUGACUUUCUUUAAAAUUUGGCAGCAGAUACGUUGUACUACUUAAUAUUUUUUUGUAUUUAAUUUAAAUGAUUUUAAAGAUUAUUAAAUUCAAUUAAUUUUUAGGGUUUUUUUAAAUGAACUUGUAUUUAAUUCAAAUAAGUCCACUUUAGUCAUCAGCUUUUAUCCACCCUCUGCUGCCCCUCUCGUUAGAGGACGCAGAGAGGCAGCUCAGAUUACAGGAUUGACAUGUUUCAUCUCUUCCAAAGAUCACGUCAAGGUCUUCCAACAAAGGGAAGACAGUAAGGACCUGAUACAUUUCAAAUAUUGUAUAUAUUUUGGAGGCGGGGGAGAAUUGAAGCUAUCUUUGUGCCUCUUAAUGGAACAGUAAAUACUAAAAUUGACUUGUCUUUGGCUUGCAGUUUUACUUCUAAACUAAAACUGUAACUGGCAUUCUUGUCUUCUGGUAAAAAUAAUCUUGCUGACAAGUGACUUAUUUAUUGGAAAUCUGACUGUAAAGGUUUUGAUUCCACUUCACUACUGACUUAUUAAAAGAACACUCUUAAGAUUUAAAUAUUCAUAGUUUGGCAAUGGAAUGUGGAAUCUUUCAUGUCUUGUUCAGAUCUAUCGGACUGGCAAGUUUGAUCUUGGUGGUAUUAGUAUAAAUGUAUCCACAUCAUUCAGUUGUUACUACGGAUGACAGAAGAGGGGCCAAGGAGUGAAUGGUUCAUGAAGACUGAAUUACCUUCUAAUAGAAUAUGGAGAAUGCUGAAUUCCUAUUACCCAUACUGUGACUGUUCUGUGAAGUUCACCAAUAUGCAUGGUGCGAGCACAAGGGCUAUGCUUUACUUAAUUUUUCAAAAUUGGGCUUAAGUAGCACAUAGACCUUCUGGUCCUCUAAACAUUGGUGAACCUAAUCCUUUAUGAAGAGGACUUCAGUCUUCAAAGUCAAUUUGGCAACCAGCAAUAAUACUCUUAAAAAGAAUGUUCAUGUAAACUAUAUGAAAGCAGGGUAGAAACUGACCUGCAGUAGCACGCUGUGAUGCGCUUGUUGCUUUAACACUUUUCUAGUAGUACGUGAUCAGUAAUUACACAACCUUUCAAAUGGAAUUGAUGAAAUGAGUGCAGCUUUCCUAGUUAUUGUGCCUUGUGACCUUCACUGUUGGCUGUGUGUGGACGCAUGAAGACAAUUUUUUUCAUCUGUGCUGUUCACAAUAUACACAUUUGAUUUUUAAAGUGAUAUGCUAUUUCAAAAUAUAAACUUUGCUUGGAAAACCAUUACCUCUAAGUUUUAAAAUCCCUUAGCCCUUUUUAUACUCUGGGGAGAAUAAGGAUACAAAAUGUGCAGAAAAUAAAGACAGUUUUGUUUCGCCCGACUUCAUAGAGCUGGCUUCAUAACUUAUGAUUCUUCAUUAUUAAAACACUUCAAAAGUCAAAAGAACCCACUACUUUUGAUACAGUUGAGGGGUACUGGUGUCCUCUGAACUCUGAAAAAGAUAAUUUAGGUUUAUAUAACAAAAUGUUAGUAUGGCGGCAGUACCUUGUCCUAUAUUAUCUUGUGCUGUGAUCUAAUUUGAUAUUGCAUGCUGAGCAGUAUGGACAGUAUGUGUAUAGAUGGAAGACCUCAAAGGAAAACCUAGGUGCCCCAUGAAAUUACAUUGCUGAUUCAAUAGGUGGCCUUUGUUCCUGAGUGUUGGUGUGGACCCAGUAUCUCACCAUGGUGUUGAGGGUAGCUUAUGGUAAACUGAGUCACAGUGUUGCUGUGUACUGUUGUCACUUGCCAUUGGGAGAAAGUGUUGAUUCCUAUAUUAAUUAAUUAAUUAAGCUCUUUUAGGACAAAGACUACAUAAGUAUACAAUGUAAAUCUUAGCAUAAUUCCAUACACAAGUUGCCCAACUUUAGGGGGUCAGUAAGCAAAAUAAACUCUCUGAAUAUAUUUGGUCUAUGCUAAGAAUGUUUCUAAACAAGUGCUUGGUUAAUCAUAACUUUAAUGUACUUAAAGUUACGUUCAAAAGGCUUCUGGGGUGUAAUU